rnacentral:rRNA from 1 species
UACGUAGGGUGCAAGCGUUAAUCGGAAUUACUGGGCGUAAAGCGUGCGCAGGCGGUUUUGUAAGACCGAUGUGAAAUCCCCGGGCUUAACCUGGGAACUGCAUUGGUGACUGCAAGGCUUGAGUGUGUCAGAGGGAGGUGGAAUUCCGCGUGUAGCAGUGAAAUGCGUAGAUAUGCGGAGGGAACACCGAUGGCGAAGGCAGCCUCCUGGGAUAACACUGACGCUCAUGCACGAAAGCGUGGAGAGCAAACAGG